AUGUUUCAGAUUGGGCCUCUUAAGGCCCCAGGGCCGGAUGGUUUUCCGGCUAGGUUCUUUCAACGCAAUUGGAGUACAGUAAAAGAAAGUGUAUUGGCUGCAGUGAAGGAAUUUUCUAGAUCCGGUAUAAUGCCAUCGGGUGCUAAUGAUACACUAAUUGUGUUGAUUCCUAAAAUAUCAUAUCCAAAAAGUCUUAAAGAUUACAGACCUAUAAGCCUUUGUAAUGUAACUUAUAAGGUGAUUUCUAAAUGUUUGGUCAACCGACUACGGCUAUUGCUUGAGAAUAUAAUCACACCUGAACAGAGUGUGUUGUGUCGGGUAGAUUGA
rnacentral:rRNA from 1 species